GGGCGAAGCCUGACGGAGCACGCCGCGUGAGUGAUGAAGGUCUUCGGAUCGUAAAACUCUGUUAUCAGGGAAGAACAAAUGUGUAAGUAACUGUGCACAUCUUGACGGUACCUGAUCAGAAAGCCACGGCUAACUACGUGCCAGCAGCCGCGGUAAUACGUAGGUGGCAAGCGUUAUCCGGAAUUAUUGGGCGUAAAGCGCRCGUAGGCGGUUUUUUAAGUCUGAUGUGAAAGCCCACGGCUCAACCGUGGAGGGUCAUUGGAAACUGGAAAACUUGAGUGCAGAAGAGGAAAGUGGAAUUCCAUGUGUAGCGGUGAAAUGCGCAGAGAUAUGGAGGAACACCAGUGGCGAAGGCGACUUUCUGGUCUGUAACUGACGCUGAUGUGCGAAAGCGUGGGGAUCAAACAGGAUUAGAUACCCUGGUAGUCCACGCCGUAAACGAUGAGUGCUAAGUGUUAGGGGGUUUCCGCCCCUUAGUGCUGCAGCUAACGCAUUAAGCACUCCGCCUGGGGAGUACGACCGCAAGGUUGAAACUCAAAGGAAUUGACGGCGGGCGGGGGCGGCGGGACGGGCGCGGGGGGGGGCSSGGGSRAA
rnacentral:rRNA from 1 species